AAGGGAAGACAGCGUGUUCCAGGGAGAGGUCUCAGCUCCUGCAGAGCUCUUGUGACAGGAGAGGGCAUGGCGAGCACGGAGCUGAAGGCAGGCCAGGGAGGCUGGAGUGCAGAGGCCUAGGUCCGUCUCUGUCACGAAUCGAGUACCUCUGUGUGGGGACGUGUUUCCGGACUCUCUUCCGUCCCACGGGUCCGUUUGCCCAUGUGUACAUAGCUAUAUGGCUAUUGCUGCAACUGAGGAAGACACUGAUGCAUUUCUGGAAGGAUUACAGCAUCUAUGACUGCAUCAAGAACCUUGCUUGGGCUUGAGGUCAUGUCACCAAGGAGUGUAUGAAUGGCAUCUGGAAGAAGACACUCAAGAGGUUUGUCCAUGACUUGAAAGGAUUUGCCAAGGAUGAAGAGGUUGCAAAAAUCAACAAGGCUGUGGUUAAGAUGGCAAACAACUUUAACCUGGGUGUGGAUGAGAUGACAUUGAGGAGCUCCAAGAGGUGGUUCCUGAGGAAUGGAUUAAUGAGGAGUUGUUGGAACUGAAACAGGAACGCAUAGCUAAAGAAGAGGUCAGAGAAAAGGAAAUGGCAGGAGAAGAAAAAGAAGGACCUCCAAGAAAAUUCACAGUGAAGAGUUUAGCAGAAGCAUUUGCAGACUUCAAUAAGCUCUGUAAAAAGUUUGAAAACAUGGACCCCCAACACCAAAAGUUUUUCAUUUGUAGAGAGGAAUGUUCAUAGUGUAGUAUCUGCUUACAAGCAAAUCUAUGAUGAAAAAAGGAAACAAACCAAGCAAGCCACCAUGGACGUAUUUCUGAAAAGAGUGACCCUUCCUCAAGAAGAGCCUCAGGCAGGUCCUUCGGGAGGUGUUCCAGAAGAAGCCAUGGUUCUCAUAGGAGAUGACAGCUCCAUGACUGUUAUUGCCCCUGAAGCCCUUCCAGUGGGACAAGAUAUGGAGGUGGAAGGCAGUGACACUGAUGACCCUGAACCUGUGUAGGCUAGGCUACCCUAGGCUAAUGUGUGUGUUUGUGUCUUAG
rnacentral:lncRNA from 1 species